GGGGGCGAACGGCUUCGACCGGAUGAUAGAGAGGCAAGUUGCAUGCCCAGGACGCCGGUUGGCCUGGUUAAUCACCCGGCACAAAUUUAACUGGCAACUACCAGUUACGCAUGGCUGCUUAAUUUAGCGGCUCGUCCUGCCAGACUUUGCCUGUGAGUUUGGCAAGGGCGUCAAAAAGCAGGCUGGCUGAGCUGGUUGUUCGGGCCAGUUCGGCAAGAUUUCACCGAAAUAGCCAAGUUAUGAGCCUGUCGUUUGGCGCUUAACAAAGCGAAAAUUUAAUAAAGCGACUAAGCAUGUAGAAGCUUGUCUUGAAGCAUCUCGGGACGGGGGUUCGAAUCCCCCCGCCUCCAGUC
rnacentral:tmRNA from 1 species